GAACGGUAGCACAGAGAGCUUGCUCUUGGGUGACGAGUGGCGGACGGGUGAGUAAUGUCUGGGAAACUGCCCGAUGGAGGGGGAUAACUACUGGAAACGGUAGCUAAUACCGCAUAACGUCUUCGGACCAAAGUGGGGGACCUUCGGGCCUCACACCAUCGGAUGUGCCCAGAUGGGAUUAGCUAGUAGGUGGGGUAAUGGCUCACCUAGGCGACGAUCCCUAGCUGGUCUGAGAGGAUGACCAGCCACACUGGAACUGAGACACGGUCCAUACUCCUACGGGAGGCAGCAGUGGGGAAUAUUGCACAAUGGGCGCAAGCCUGAUGCAGCCAUGCCGCGUGUAUGAAGAAGGCCUUCGGGUUGUAAAGUACUUUCAGCGGGGAGGAAGGCGAUGAGGUUAAUAACCUUAUCGAUUGACGUUACCCGCAGAAGAAGCACCGGCUAACUCCGUG
rnacentral:rRNA from 1 species